UCGCAGCAGUGCGCGCGCGUUCGUGACGCUUUAAUUUCACAUCCAAUAAAUUGUGAUUUGAAAAAGUGCUGCUAUUCAAACAUGGUGAAUAUCUUCUCUCUGACGUGGAAACAAUUAUGCUGUCCUAAACGUCAGUUAAACAAGGCAACUGCCAUUAGCUCCUACUCAACAUAACAAGAAACUUCUCUGAAA
rnacentral:sRNA from 13 species